rnacentral:misc_RNA from 1 species
AAGUCGUAACAAGGUUUCCGUAGGUGAACCUGCGGAAGGAUCAUUACACAAAUUAUCAGCGGGUCUUUGGCCCGGUCUGAUUCUACCCAUGCUUUUUGCGUACCUCUGUUUCCUCGGCGGGCUUGCCUGCCGGUAGGACUAUCUACAACCCUUUGUAAUUGCAGUCAGCGUCAAAAAACAAGUAAUUAUUACAA